CCUACGGGAGGCUGCAGUAGGGAAUCUUCCGCAAUGGACGAAAGUCUGACGGAGCAACGCCGCGUGAGUGAUGAAGGUUUUCGGAUCGUAAAGCUCUGUUGCCAGGGAAGAACGCUUGCGAGAGUAACUGCUCGCAAGGUGACGGUACCUGAGAAGAAAGCCCCGGCUAACUACGUGCCAGCAGCCGCGGUAAUACGUAGGGGGCAAGCGUUGUCCGGAAUUAUUGGGCGUAAAGCGCGCGCAGGCGGCCUUGUAAGUCUGUCGUUUAAACUCGGAGCUCAACUUCGAGUCGCGAUGGAAACUGCAAAGCUUGAGUGCAGAAGAGGAAAGUGGAAUUCCACGUGUAGCGGUGAAAUGCGUAGAGAUGUGGAGGAACACCAGUGGCGAAGGCGACUUUCUGGGCUGUAACUGACGCUGAGGCGCGAAAGCGUGGGGAGCAA
rnacentral:rRNA from 1 species